rnacentral:rRNA from 1 species
AACGAACGCUGGCGGCAUGCCUAACACAUGCAAGUCGAACGAGACCUUCGGGUCUAGUGGCGCACGGGUGCGUAACGCGUGGGAACCUGCCCUUAGGUUCGGAAUAACUCCCCGAAAGGGGUGCUAAUACCGGAUAAUGUCUUCGGACCAAAGAUUUAUCGCCUUUGGAUGGGCCCGCGUUGGAUUAGCUAGUUGGUAGGGUAAAAGCCUGCCAAGGCGACGAUCCAUAGCUGGUCUGAGAGGAUGAUCAGCCACACUGGGACUGAGACACGGCCCAGACUCCUACGGGAGGCAGCAGUGGGGAAUAUUGGACAAUGGGCGAAAGCCUGAUCCAGCAAUGCCGCGUGAGUGAUGAAGGCCUUAGGGUUGUAAAGCUCUUUUACCCGGGAUGAUAAUGACAGUACCGGGAGAAUAAGCACCGGCUAACUCCGUG